rnacentral:rRNA from 1 species
AUUGAACGCUGGCGGCAUGCCUUACACAUGCAAGUCGAACGGCAGCACGGGUGCUUGCCCCUGGUGGCGAGUGGCGAACGGGUGAGUAAUACAUCGGCACAUGUCCUGUAGUGGGGGAUAGCCCGGCGAAAGCCGGAUUAAUACCGCAUACGAUCUACGGAUGAAAGCGGGGGACCUUCGGGCCUCGCGCUAUAGGGUUGGCCGAUGGCUGAUUCGCUAGUUGGUGGGGUAAAGGCCUACCAAGGCGACGAUCAGUAGCUGGUCUGAGAGGACGACCAGCCACACUGGGACUGAGACACGGCCCAGACUCCUACGGGAGGCAGCAGUGGGGAAUUUUGGACAAUGGGCGAAAGCCUGAUCCAGCAAUGCCGCGUGUGUGAAGAAGGCCUUCGGGUUGUAAAGCACUUUUGUCCGGAAAGAAAUCCUUGGCCCUAAUACGGUCGGGGGAUGACGGUACCGGAAGAAUAAGCACCGGCUAACUACGUG